rnacentral:lncRNA from 1 species
UAAGCGAAGGAGAAACAGGAAGCAUCCGUUUUUCCCCAUUCGCCUCCUCCAGCGGCAGAAUGUGAGCCACCAGCAAGGAGGGAUGCCAAUAAGUUAAUUGAUGUGGGUGAUAGAGUCCACUAUGGGGGCACAGUGCCCUAGCAAGGAUGGUCCUGAAUUGUACAAGAUUGGAGAAAUGGAACUGACAACAAGCAACUACAACUGAGGUAUGACCUGACCCAUCCACCAUUAUGAGUCAAAGAACCUCCAAGACACUGCUGAGUUCCUUCUGAAUUGGCCAUCCAUUGCUGGGCAUGGGGUCUAACCUCCAGAGUGAUUUGCUUCCCCAAAGAGACUCCCUUGGAGAAAUCUAACUUUUCACUUGCAAAUGAUUAUCAAUUGGAGAAAGCUUCUGGGUUAAGGAUGGAUGUGUGUAUCCAUUUCCACUCUUAGCACUGGGACCCCAUCUGGUGCAGACAUGUAAAAGUCCUGUAUAUACUGCCACAGUUUCUGUGAAUUCAUAUGUAUGCCAGUCACUCCAUGUAUAGAAGAUUUUGUUUCCAUGGUGCCUCCUGCCUCUUCUACUCCUCCCACUUUCUCUUCUGCAAGUUCCCAGAAGGGAAGCAUAAAUACAACAGAAAUGGUUAGAAGAUGAAGGAGGAGGAGGAGGAGGAGGAGGAGGAGGAGGAGGAGGAGGAGGAGGAGGAGAAGAAGAAGAAGAAGAAGAAGAAGAAGAAGAAGAAGAAGAAGAAGAAGAAGAAGAAGAAGAAGAAGGUUAUUAUAAAACAAUCCUUGAAAACAUAGAAUCUGGCCCCAGUGGACUCAGAAGACAGAAGAAUUCAAACUGGUGGCAUUUCUGUCCUUAAAAGAAACAGGAAUGAAACACUCUACAUAUGCAAGAACAUCCAUCCACCAUGAGCCUCUCUUCUGAAGGGUCCAUAGGAAGGUGAGGCAGAGAAGCAUGGCUGCCUGCAAUGCCAGGUUUGAAUGGAAUGCAAGCCACAAGAGUCUUUCCUUGAGAAGUUAACUCCCCAAUUUGAGAUUAGCUCCUGUGGUUUGGCUGGCGACACGGUAGAUGUUUAGCAAGCAAUAACAGACAUUUCCCUUUCAUCCCCAGGCAAUACAGCACCCAAACCAAAAAGAAAAAAAUAAAGGGGGUGGGGUGGAGCAUUGUUCUGUCUAAAAACAAAACACAAUAAAAUGGCACAAGUCCACAAUAGACCAUAUUGAUGAACCAUUUCGCAGGGAGAAGCCUGUGGAUUAGGUAGGAGGAUAGCCAGGCCAGCUUCCUCUCCAUGACCUUCCUGCUGAUCACAAAAGGGAAAUGUCAACACACAAUGGAUUGGUUUACUAAAAGAACUGUGCACAUCAGGAUGGAUUUCAGUAGGAGGGGUGGCUGGACAGUUCCAUUGUGGAGCCCAGAGAGCUGACCUUUUCCAUUUGUGUGGUGAGAACACUCAAGAGGAACACUACCGAGUCUAAAAGCAAACACUGGGUCUCCAUGAGCCAAACUUCGGGACACCAUGAUAUGUGAAGUAUUCACCUGCUGGUUUGCCAUUCAUUAAUAAUGUCCACUGAUCACAAUGGUUUGAUGCCACCUGAGAGUGCCAGCCAUAGGGUCCAUUCAGUUUCUUUGUUAGGAGUUUUGCUUCUUGAGAUAGGAUAUUGCUCUAGGGUCUGGUCAGGUCUGAUACUUGUCUCAGUCUCCCCAGGACUGUGAAUACAGACAAAUGCCUACAUGGCGCACUUAAUAUAAGACAAAAAAAAAAAAUGCCUUAUUUUUGAGGAUACGAGUCCUUACAUUUCAGGGAAUAAUCAGUAUUGAAUGUAACACCAAAUCAAAUUCUAAAGUAUAUUAUCCAUUCUCAAAGUUUGCCUUGUGCUCUCCCCUCCCCUCCCUUUGGUAAAUGCCUGCAACCAGUGCUGACCCUGGGAAUUCACUUUUCCAUCCCACCACCAUGCCUUUGUUCCAACAUGAAUUUCACACAGUAUGUAGCCUUUUGGGUGGAGUUACUUUUCAGUGACUUGCUGUUUUGGAACUCUACCUGUGUUGCUGCAGGUAUCCAUUCUAAAUUCUACCCACUGUAUAUCUAGAUGACAAUUUAAUUCAUUCAGCAGUUGGUGAAUAUUGUACUGUUUUCAGAUCCUACAAAAAUUCUACCUGUAUCUACAUGAAAGUUUCUUUGUCUUAGACUUGUUCAAGAAAUCGCUGAAUCAACACUAUGCUUAAAAUUGUAGUGAUAGCCACUAUCGUUUUGCAAAAUUUCUGACCACUUGACAGCAAUGCAUAAUUUUUCUGUUCAGCUAAUGUCACUUGUAUUUAGUAUUUAAAUAUUGC